GACGGAGGGUGCAAGCGUUGUUCGGAAUUACUGGGCGUAAAGGGCGCGUAGGCGGUCUGUUAAGUUCGGUGUGAAAGCCCCCGGCUCACCUGGGGAACUGCGCCGGAAACCGACAGACUCGAGUACCGGAGAGGAGGGUGGAAUUCCUGGUGUAGCGGUGAAAUGCGUAGAUAUCAGGAGGAACACCGGUGGCGAAGGCGGCCCUCUGGACGGAUACUGACGCUGAGGCGCGAAAGCGUGGGGAGCGAACAGG
rnacentral:rRNA from 1 species